rnacentral:lncRNA from 1 species
CACAGAUAUAUAUAAAGUAUAUUUCUAUUUUAUAUGCAAAGUGUUCAAUGGAUGAUUAUCUAAAUUGCUACCUCUUUCCUUCUAAAAUAAAAAGAAGUUUUGAUCCCUCAAAUGAAGAGACUUACAGCAUUUGGGGGAAGUUGGACCCUGAGGCAGUAGUCACAGAGUGUCGCACUGGGGCUUCAUAAUCUAUGAACUCCUGAGUCCACUGAGUUCUAGGAACUAUGGAACAGUUAGCACAGUAUGUAUUUCUUUGAUAUUUGUAUUUCAAUAAAUAUAAAUAAUUCAAAUGUUUAAGUUAAAAA